CUUGUACUCCCUCCGUCCGAAAAUACUUGUCAUUGAAAUGGAUGUAUCUAGAUGUAUUUUAGUUCUAGACACAUCCAUUUUGAUGACAAGUAAUUCCAGACGGAGGGAGNCUACU
rnacentral:pre_miRNA from 1 species